GUAGGGAGCAGGAAAGCAUGGAGGAAGUGUCAGUAGGAAAAAGGAAAGGGAACAGGCAGAGACUAUCCUUCAGGAACCUGAGGCCCAGUGGCAGGUGGAUCCACUUUUCCGAGCACGACCCUGACCCCGCCCUACCGGAAGCUGUCAUGUAAAGGAAAUCUCUCUGGCCACGCCUAGAGUUCAGCACCAUGGACGCGGACAGCGACACCGCCCAUUCUAGUCUCAUGACUUGCUGCAGAGUUUCACCUGACAAAGGAAAUGGCCAAUCCCCAGUUGGUUCCAAGGGCUGCGUGACGGACUAAUUUACAAUGCCAGGAGUGGAGGGGGUGAGAAACCCCCUGAUUUGGGACAUUUAGAUUUGUUGGGGAACCAGCUGACAUUAAAUAAUAUCCCAUAUUGCAAAA